AAAUCCGUAUAUAUGAAUUCGGCUUUAAAAAUGUACAAAAUCGAAUCGAACCGUUGGCCUCUGCAAAAGAUUGCCCAUUGAAUGCUACCUCUGUUAGCCCAAAAUGGUCGGGCGUCUCUUCGCGCAUACCAAUAAACGCUGUCAGAGCUGUCCAGCAGAAUUACUACGGCACUGAUUCCGAAUUAACUCCGACGUAGCCAAGUACUUAAGCGGUUAAGCCAUCGCCGUCCAAAUCUUCUACGAAACCAGACAGUCAAUACCCUUCUUAUCCAUCGCCAUCAGACCUCCCUCCAAAAGAAGGCCAAAGAUGAAUAAUCCACUAGAUCAAGCCGAAGACCCGUUCUCUGCAUUCCCUCCUCUCCGGUUCAUUCCAUGUCCACCCCCAGUAUAGGGCAAAAUCAAGGUGACAAGUGACAUGUUGAAGCAGUGAGCAGAGUUCCUUGAGAGCCAAAAAUUUAUCAAAGGUUUUGCUCCUCUUCCCCUGUGGAUCCGUGAUCAAGUAUUUUGCCAGCCUCGCAAUAGUUUACUCAUAAUCUUAAGCUGGAUAGCCAGUGUUAUUGUGAGCUGGAUGAAUAUGUCGCUGCCAAUUGAGGAGGACCGCACUGCUGUUGGUUGGCUUCCCUGCCGAGAACUGACAAAUGCAAAAUGAAAGUGAAAAUUGAGCAAGAGUAUAUGCUGGAUGAAUAUGGCACUCCAAUUGAGGAGGACCGCACUGCUGUUGGUUGGCUUCCCUGCCGAGAAGUGACAAAUGCAAAAUGAAAGCGAAAAUUGAGCAAGAGUAUAUGUUGGACAGGAUCUCAAGCCACCUUCUCAAGAUGCAUGUGAAGUGAUGGGAGCUUGCGAUCAGAUCAGAGUGUUUGGCUAGGCCAAUGGUGAAGCCAAUGAAAGCAAUGAUUUGCUGCUCCAGUAAUACCAACCGGCCAAGAAGUUUGUUGCCAAGAUGAUUGUGCAGCGGAUAAACGAUGCCAUGGAUGAGCCUUUACCAUAAGACCCAGAGUUAUUAUUUACAGGUGGAAUGAGAGAGGAGCCAUGAUUGGCUCUACAAUGGGGACAGCUGCCUUCUUGUCGAGAAGCAUUAUGUUUGUACAAAAUUUAUUGAAUUUCGGUCUCGUGCCUUAUAAUUAUUAUUUAUAUAUUUAAUGCUCUCACUUUAAGUCUUGUUU